GAGGGUACAGCUCAGUGGCAGAGUCCAUGCUUAGCAUGCAUGACGUCAUGGGUUCAAUCCCCAGUAUCUCCG
rnacentral:tRNA from 1 species